AUUGAACGCUGGCGGAAUGCUUUACACAUGCAAGUCGAACGGCAGCACGGACUUCGGUCUGGUGGCGAGUGGCGAACGGGUGAGUAAUGUAUCGGAACGUAUCCAAUAAUGGGGGAUAACUAAUCGAAAGGUUGGCUAAUACCGCAUACGCCCUACGGGGGAAAGCUAGGGAUCUUCGGACCUGGCGUUAAUGGAGCGGCCGAUAUCUGAUUAGCUAGUUGGUGAGGUAAAAGCUCACCAAGGCGACGAUCAGUAGCUGGUCUGAGAGGACGACCAGCCACACUGGAACUGAGACACGGUCCAGACUCCUACGGGAGGCAGCAGUGGGGAAUUUUGGACAAUGGGCGAAAGCCUGAUCCAGCCAUUCCGCGUGAGUGAAGAAGGCCUUCGGGUUGUAAAGCUCUUUCGCAAGAGAAGAAAACUUAGUCUCUAACAUAGACUGAGGUUGACGGUAUCUUGAUAAGAAGCACCGGCUAACUACGUGCCAGCAGCCGCGGUAAUACGUAGGGUGCGAGCGUUAAUCGGAAUUACUGGGCGUAAAGCGUGCGCAGGCUGUUUUGUAAGUCAGAUGUGAAAUCCCUGAGCUCAACUUAGGAACUGCGUUUGAAACUACAAGACUAGAAUAUGUCAGAGGGGGGUAGAAUUCCACGUGUAGCAGUGAAAUGCGUAGAGAUGUGGAGGAAUACCAAUGGCGAAGGCAGCCCCCUGGGAUAAUAUUGACGCUCAUGCACGAAAGCGUGGGGAGCAAA
rnacentral:rRNA from 1 species